CCUACCACAGAGCUAUAGAGAGAGAGAGUUGCGACACUUCCAUUGGACUCCGUUGUAGCGCCUACUUCCGGGGUAUGGAGCCUCGAAUAGUUCCAAACAACCAUUUUACGGCGUAGGAGACGUUCAUUUCCAUUGCUGGCCGCCGAGUAACUUCUGAGGGUGAUGUUCAGCACAUGAAGCCCUACAGAUGCCGCCGAUUCAACAAUGCUGAUUAUGAUGGGCGGUCAAUUUAACCUGUGUGGCUUUUUCGUUUUAAUUUCUUGUUGACUGAAUUGUUUCUCUUUCUUAGUGCCAAAUUGAUUAUCUUUCUUAGUGCCAAAUUGAUUCUUUUUUGUUUUGCAAUAGCCCUCUCUGCUCUCCUUCUCAUUAAUUUUUCCUUUUCUAGUUGCCUUAUUAGGUCCUCCACAGUCACCCCAUCAGUCCCUGGCAGUCUGGUCCCUGGAGCAGCUGGCCCUGGCAAGUUAUUCCUUCACUGUUGACCCCUGACUGACUGGCCCUCGGCACACAAAUCCCUGGAUCACCCGCCACUGGAUCACCUGCCCCUGGAUCACCUGCCCCUGAAUCACCUGCCCCUGGCAAUGUGGCCUCUUGAUUGCUCUCGCCGUCUCCUGUGAUGUCCUUUUCAACGUUCUUGAAAUCCACCUCAAUUUCUCCCUCAAUCUCUGUAACAAUUACAAGGUAAUGUUGCUGUUAUAUGUAUUUUGCCUUUGCAUUUGCAACUACUGUCAUCUCCAAUGUAAUAAAAUGAAUUAAAGCAAAACAUUUCUGUAAUGUGAAUGAAAUCAUCUGCCACAAUCAGAAACCAAUACAAUUUAUAAAUGGAUCUACCAGCAAUUGUUAAUUGGGUAGAAAUGUGUCUUAUCUACAUUGUGUGCAAAUCCUCAGAGAAUCCCUGCCUUCUGGUUGUUUUUUAAACUGAAUGUACAAAUAUGAAUUAUGUAAUCUCAUUAGGAGUGUAGUCUAUCCUUGAAUUACAUGAAAUGGGGAAUAUUGUUAGCUGCAUGGAUCAUACCGAAGUUUAAUUUGGUGCAAUAUGUGUGGUCCGUUGCACUUGGUUCAGGAGGCACCCUCACAGAAGGGGGUUUCCUCCUCUUCGGUUUAGGGCGAUGGAUGAAAACUGUUGGGCCUGCAUCGGGCCUCAACUUCAACAUCCUAUCUACUUUUGUGGCUUUGAAUCGGUCAUUUUCAAAGUGUACCUGUAGGUAGGCUUGUAAGAUCAGUUUCCAUUGCACUUCAAAUAUCAUUGGAAAGUCAUAAUUCUCUACGCUUAGAAUUAUUAUGCCCUUUGAAAUGCUAGUAAGUGAUCUGAACAUUACGUUACAUCGUUUUUGACUGUUGCUGACUGUCAAUAAGUUUUGACGGCUGACCAUUGCCAUCCAUUUCUCCCUGCGCUCUUGGUCCUUGGGGAAGCCGUACAUGUGAUAACCCUUCUCGGACCGAUUGGGGCAUCCAAAUGCUGCACAGCCAACCAUGGUAUGACCAUUUAUCUAUAAAAUGUUAGUUGUAACCAAUGAACCAUGACACCAUUGAAGAUCACAGAGCGGGUAACAACUGUUCCUCAACCACUUAUGCCCCGACUUUUGAGAAUAGGUUAGAGGUCAGAGUUCAUGACCAAACGAGGAUCCUCCCUCCUAAACCCAUUUUGAAUUUGCUCAGGGCUAUUCUAAGUAUUGUAACGGCAUAAAGUAUAGUAUAUUUGCAACGUUAUAUGUUAAUGGUUUGCCCUAAGUAUAUAGUGUUCCCUGCUGUGUCCAUUGUUGAAUCUUCACACAAUCGCAAUCACUUGUUCUUGUCACACUAAUUGUUUAAUAAAAAAAAAUACAAUUUCAUUCAUCCAAGCGUAAUGAGUUGUUAUCCUUUAAUAUAUUUGAUACUUUGUGUGGCUUAUAUCUUUAAAUGAUCAUGGUAGAACAUCUUGAAUACUUUGAUUUCAACACAGAUGUAAGGUAAAAGUUAAGGUUAGGCCAGUAUGCUAACACGAACGUGAAGCUUUCCCUCCAAAACUUAAAAACGUAUCUAAGUAAUAGUACUUAUAGAUAGCUUUCAGUUGCCCCCCUACCGCUCUAAA